rnacentral:rRNA from 1 species
UACGUAGGGGGCAAGCGUUGUCUGGAUUUAUUGGGCGUAAAGAGCGUGUAGGCGGUUAGGUAGGUCCGUUGUGAAAACUCGAGGCUCAACCUCGAGACGCCGAUGGAAACCAUCUAACUAGAGUCCGGAAGAGGAGAGUGGAAUUCCUGGUGUAGCGGUGAAAUGCGCAGAUAUCAGGAAGAACACCCGUGGCUAAGGCGGCUCUCUAGUACGGUACUGACGCUGAGACGCGAAAGCGUGGGGAGCGAACAGG